rnacentral:rRNA from 1 species
UACAGAGGGUGCAAGCGUUGUUCGGAAUUAUUGGGCGUAAAGCGCGUGUAGGCGGCUUUGCAAGUCGGGUGUGAAAGCCCUCGGCUCAACCGAGGAAGUGCGCCCGAAACUGCAGAGCUCGAGUACCGGAGAGGAUGGCGGAAUUCCCCAAGUAGAGGUGAAAUUCGUAGAUAUCGAGAGGAACACCGGUGGCGAAAGCGGCUACCUGGACGAGGACUGACGCUGAGAUGCGAAAGCGUGGGGAGCAAACAGG